CCCGUUCUCUUGAUUGCCGCUUUCUCUUCCAUCUUUCCCUUCCCCUUCCUUUUACUUUUCCCUUCUGUUUCUUCCCUUACUUCCCUUCUUUUUUGGGAAGCUGUAUUUAUCUUGUAUUUACUUUUGUAUUUAUCUUACGCCUUUUUAGAGGUUGUGCCUGCUUCUGCUGGCUUCCCAAAAAAGGAACAAGGAGCUCUACAGUAGAGCCUGGAAGCGUGAGGUGGCUGGGCGCGCCUCUGCCCCGUGCCUGUGCUCCUUCCUUCCCCCUGAAAACAUCACCACAUGAGAUUUUGAUAGGAUUCUUUUUACUCUAUUUGUUUUUCUUUUCCUUCCAUCUUUUCUGUUCUCCUUUCUCUUUUUCUUCCCUAUUUAAUUUUCAUUUUCUGUUUACUUCCCCCUUUUCUUCCCUCUUUCUUCUUGCUCUUUCUUUUUCAUCCCCUUUAUGUUUCCGUUUCCCUUCCUCUUUCCCUUUCCCUUCCACUUCCCCUUUCUCUUUCCCUUUCCCUUCCCCUUUCCCUUUUCCUUCCCUUUUCUCUUUCCUUUCCCUUUUUGUUUCCCCUUCCCUUCCCUUCUUUUCCUUCCAAGAAGCUGUAUUUAUCUUGUAUUUACUUAUGUAUUUAUCUUACUUUGAUAUGUUACGUGCACUGCUUUUGCU
rnacentral:lncRNA from 1 species